CUACGUGCCAGCAGCCGCGGUAAUACGUAUGUCGCGAGCGUUAUCCGGAAUUAUUGGGCAUAAAGGGCAUCUAGGCGGACGAUCAAGUCAGGGGUGAAAACUUGCGGCUCAACUGUAAGCUUGCCUUUGAAACUGAUUGUCUAGAGUAUUGGAAAGGUGGGCGGAACUACACGAGUAGAGGUGAAAUUCGUAGAUAUGUGUAGGAAUGCCGAUGAUGAAGAUAGCUCACUGGACGAUAACUGACGCUGAAGUGCGAAAGCUAGGGGAGCGAACAGGAUUAGAUACCCUGGUAGUCCUAGCUGUAAACGAUGAUCACUGGGUGUGGGCAGGAAGACUGUCUGUGCCGAAGCAAAUGCGAUAAGUAAUCCGCCUGGGGAGUACGGCCGCAAGGCUGAAACUCAAAGGAAUUGACGGGGACCCGCACAAGCGGUGGAGCAUGUGGUUUAAUUCGACGCAACGCGAGGAACCUUACCAGAUCUUGACAUCCUG
rnacentral:rRNA from 1 species